AUGGGUUUUUCUCUUUAACAAAAAUCCCGUUUUCGUUCCUUUUGUUUUCUUCUUCUCGUUUCACUCCCAUCUGACCUCAGACUACUUAUGGCGACCAAGGCGACUGGUGACCAGCGACCUUCUUUUCUUUCUAUCAUUCUCUGUUUCUCGCUUAAGCAGUUGAGCCCAUCUUACCUCCAACGUCCAACCUCCGACGAGUUCCGGCGAUCUACGACGAUCAGAGACCGACGAUUUUGCAGUAACGACCAGCGACUUCUUUACUUGCAGCAGUUUUAGGCUUUAGCUCUGUUUUUGGGCUUUUUUCACCUCUGGCGAGUAUUUAGUUGCAGAGACGAUUUUAAUCACCGGCGACCAGUCCAAACAAAAUAUCUGACCGGCUGUUUCAUUCGUCUCGUCUCUUUGUGACACCACCCUUACCGACGGCGGUGAAGUUUUCCAUAUUGAUGAAGGGAAAUUUGGCCCGACCUCAUAAAGACAUGUGGACGUGACUCGACACAAGUGACAACUCAACAUGAUCAGUUCGCUACAAAGCGACUUCGGGUACCCUAAUACCCCGAACUGAAGCUAUCACGAACUAAGAUCACCCCGGUAUCAGAUCGCGACCAGGAUAACGAUAUCAAGUCCGCUACAGGUCGAACUCGGACAGAUGGACCACCUUGGAAAGAAUCCACCUCGAGACAAGCCUGCCUCAGUGCAAGAUCAUCUCAGUACUAAGGCACUUCGGCAUUCAGAGCAGGUCGGGUCUGAAGAACACGAGCUCAGGCAGCUCACCACUAGGUAGCUCGCCACCAAGCAACUUGACACUUCACAGGCAGUUCGACCUCCGUAUGACAACCCCGAGAAGCUCACCACCGUACCCCGCAUUUUACGGGAUUGUGACUUGUAACGGCUAUAUUAGCUCACCCACUCCCCGAUUUAGGCGGAGAUGAGCAACCUUACCGGUUGGUGGCAUUAUCUCCACCUAACAUGAAAGUGGAUCCCAUCACAACGGGGAUCUAGGAACUGCUCCACCUAACCCGCAGGGACUCCAGUAUAUAAAGACCUCACCCCCCAGGGGCAAGGUUACUCAGUCCUCGUCGUUGCUGGCAGCCAGAUCGUCUCCAGCAGGGAACAGUCGGAUUAUGCCACAUCAUUUGGUGCUGUCUGUGGGAAAUCACAAUUAAAAGCCCUUGUUUCCAUUUCCAACAUCUCAAGCUCAGAAUCAAAUCCAUGGCUUCCUCCAGCAACGCUGGACAACACAAUGAAGCGAAUGUCUCCGAAGGGCAACCUCAGUUCCCGUUUGUCUGCAUAGGUCAGUUCAUCAUACCGCUUACUGUGGCUAAGGUCCCAACGCUGACGAUGCCCCAAGCGACUGCACAAGGGAACGCGCCACUCCCUCCUGUAGUUGGCGCAACAUUCACUAAACCCUUUAUGGUUUUGUGGGAAACACUACAAAAAGCUAAGUUCUCAUCCAACAAAAAGCUAAGUCCUCACUUUUUAGAAACUAAAGCUCUCGUUUUAUAGUUUCCAUUUUCUAUGAACUCAAAAACUAUGCAGAAAGCUAACAGAUUAAGCAACUCUACCAAUUUUACUUUCAAUUCAGAUAAAACCUUAUCAGUCCUCUUCGCGAGGUCCCCUCUACAAAGAUGAGCUC